AUUGAACGCUGGCGGCAGGCCUAACACAUGCAAGUCGAACGGUAACAGGAAGAAGCUUGCUUCUUUGCUGACGAGUGGCGGACGGGUGAGUAAUGUCUGGGAAACUGCCUGAUGGAGGGGGAUAACUACUGGAAACGGUAGCUAAUACCGCAUAACGUCGCAAGACCAAAGAGGGGGACCUUCGGGCCUCUUGCCAUCGGAUGUGCCCAGAUGGGAUUAGCUAGUAGGUGGGGUAACGGCUCACCUAGGCGACGAUCCCUAGCUGGUCUGAGAGGAUGACCAGCCACACUGGAACUGAGACACGGUCCAGACCCCUACGGGAGGCCGCAGUGGGGAAUAUUGCACAAUGGGGGCAAGCCUGAUGCAGCCAUGCCGCGUGUAUGAAGAAGGCCUUCGGGUUGUAAAGUACUUUCCGCGGGGAGGAAGGGAGUAAAGUUAAUACCUUUGCUCAUUGACGUUACCCGCAGAAGAAGCACCGGCUAACUCCGU
rnacentral:rRNA from 1 species